UACGAAGGGGGCUAGCGUUGCUCGGAAUGACUGGGCGUAAAGGGCGCGUAGGCGGCUUUAUAAGUCGGGGGUGAAAGCCUGUGGCUCAACCACAGAAUUGCCUUCGAUACUGUAUGGCUUGAGACCGGAAGAGGUAAGUGGAACUGCGAGUGUAGAGGUGAAAUUCGUAGAUAUUCGCAAGAACACCAGUGGCGAAGGCGGCUUACUGGUCCGGUUCUGACGCUGAGGCGCGAAAGCGUGGGGAGCAAACAGG
rnacentral:rRNA from 1 species